rnacentral:rRNA from 1 species
AGCGAACGCUGGCGGCAGGCCUAACACAUGCCAGUCGAACGAACCUUUCGGGGUUAGUGGCGGACGGGUGAGUAACACGUGGGAACGUGCCUUUAGGUUCGGAAUAACUCAGGGAAACUUGUGCUAAUACCGAAUGUGCCCUUCGGGGGAAAGAUUUAUCGCCUUUAGAGCGGCCCGCGUCUGAUUAGCUAGUUGGUUGAGGUAAUGGCUCACCAAGGCGACGAUCAGUAGCUGGUUUGAGAGGAUGAUCAGCCACAUUGGGACUGAGACACGGCCCAAACUCCUACGGGAGGCAGCAGUGGGGAAUCUUGCGCAAUGGGCGAAAGCCUGACGCAGCCAUGCCGCGUGAAUGAUGAAGGUCUUAGGAUUGUAAAAUUCUUUCACCGGGGACGAUAAUGACGGUACCCGGAGAAGAAGCCCCGGCUAACUUCGUG